UUCUUAUCCAGAGUGGUGGAGGGACUGGCCCGAUGAAACCCGGCAACCGUUCUUGGCGAAGCCAAGAAAAGGUGCCAAUUCCUGCAAGGCGGAAAGACCUGUCUUGAGAGAUAAGAA
rnacentral:ncRNA from 2 species